rnacentral:rRNA from 1 species
AUUGAACGCUGGCGGCAGGCCUAACACAUGCAAGUCGAGCGGAGCGGCGGACGGGUGAGUAAUGUCUGGGAACCUGCCUGAUGGAGGGGGGUAACGUCCGUAAACGGGCGCUAAUACCGCAUACUAUCAGAUGAGCCUAGGUCGGAUUAGCUAGUGGGUGGGGAAAAGGCCUACCAAGGCGACGAUCCGUAACUGGUCUGAGAGGAUGAUCAGUCACACUGGAACUGAGACACGGUCCAGAAUCCUACGGGAGGCAGCAGUGGGGAAUAUUGGACAAUGGGCGAAAGCCUGAUCCAGCCAUGCCGCGUGGGUGAAGAAGGUCUUCGGAUUGUAAAGCACUUUAAGUUGGGAGGCGUUACCAACAGAAUAAGCACCGGCUAACUUCGUGCCAGCAGCCGCGGUAAUAC